rnacentral:lncRNA from 12 species
CAGCACUAGAGGAAAAGUACAGCUUCUCAUCCGGAGCAGAAUACUUGGAUGAAAACUGUGGGAUAGAAACCUCUGCACCUGAACCUUUUCUCCUGAAUUCAAGCAGCCUUUCACAUUGCAGGAGGACUGAAAUACCUGGUGUGGUCUCUGAAACCUCC